AUUGAACGCUGGCGGCAUGCUUUACACAUGCAAGUCGAACGGUAACAGGCCUUCGGGUGCUGACGAGUGGCGAACGGGUGAGUAAUGCAUCGGAACGUGCCCAGAGGUGGGGGAUAACGCAGCGGAAGCUGUGCUAAUACCGCAUGUGAUCUGAGGAUGAAAGCGGGGGACCAGGCAGCAAUGUUUGGCCUCGCGCCUUUGGAGCGGCCGAUGUCAGAUUAGGUAGUUGGCGGGGUAAAGGCCUACCAAGCCGACGAUCUGUAGCUGGUCUGAGAGGACGACCAGCCACACUGGGACUGAGACACGGCCCAGACUCCUACGGGAGGCAGCAGUGGGGAAUUUUGGACAAUGGGCGCAAGCCUGAUCCAGCAAUGCCGCGUGCGGGAAGAAGGCCUUCGGGUUGUAAACCGCUUUUGUACGGAACGAAAAGGCUCUGGCUAAUACCUGGGGCUGAUGACGGUACCGUAAGAAUAAGCACCGGCUAACUACGUG
rnacentral:rRNA from 1 species